ensembl:lincRNA
AAAAUACAAACACAUUUCCUUUUUAAAGUACUUUUAAGAAAAAAAGCAGUGCCGUGGAAGUUUUGGUGCUUUUUUCCUCCCCUGCUGCGGACCCUCACGGUUUGGAUCGGGCGGUGGAGACGCGUGUCGCCUGCGGGGGGCGCUGCUCACGGCGGGCGCGCGGGCCUCUCUACCCGAAGGCGACCACGUUUAGAUUCUGAGACCGGAAGUGGAGGGUCAACAGGUCACGGCGGCCUUUCUUUGAGUUUAACUUUUCCUUUUUUGCUGUCUGGUGAUCCUCGUCGGUCUUCUGCUUCUUGGCAUCGACAUCGUCAUCCUCAUCGCCUUCAGCUGCCCGCUUGCCCGGAGCUGACUCAGCUUCCUCAUCUUCAUCUCCAUCCUCUUCCUCAUAGCAUUCCCGUUAGCAGGGGCGUCCCUUCCAUUUUCGGCCUCUUCCACAACUUUCUUCUUCUCCUUUACGUCCUUGGUGGUGGUUUCGGAGCCGGUGAUGCGAUGCAGGGGAUUAAAAAGAAAGCGAGAGUUCAGGGACUCUGGCGAUGAAGCUGCUGGAGUCCGCGGUGGAGGAGGCGCGUGGCGGAGGCGGACGAGGCACAAUGCAAGGAUGGCUUUUCAGAGCAGCCGGUGGGGGAUAUUCUCUCUCUCUCUCUCUCUCUCUCUCUCUCUCUCUCUCUCAAUGGUCAUGACUUGAAACGUAUGUAAAGUGGUACCUGCAUAAAGCUUAGUAUCUAAAAAUGUUAGAUGAUGCUAUUGCUACUGCCACUAAUUAUAUUAACAAAUAGUAUUUCUUCAGGUUCAUCAUGCGCUGAAGAAGUAACUGGUCAGCAGAGACAUUAAGAACACAUAGCAAUGCCUUAUCCUUUCUCCUAAUCUUGCAAAAGUCAUUCCUUUCAAACAAGUCCAAAACAAAAUGCCUAAAACAAUAGCUUUGUGGGAGGCAGCUGCGGCACAGUGAACAGUAUGACAGCCUUUGGAACAUUAUAGGUUGGGGGAACCUAGGCUCUGCUAUUUAACUCAGUGGCACACAGCUGGACUGCAAAUAUUCAGUCAGUGCAAAAGUAAUUGUGGUUUUUGCCAUUACUUCUAAUGACAAAAACCGCAAUUACUUUUGCACCAACCUAAUACUUUCCCAUUUCUCACUAGUGUGUCGUAACAUUUAUGCAAACAAAAGCCUUUUAUACAUUCCAAAGUACAGCACAUAUGAAGAAAUAUAGACGUUUCAAUGCCAUUAAAAAUUCAGAAAACUCAGAAAAUAACACACACUAUUUACCCAUUACCUGAGACUAUCAAUGUCAAUAACUUGUCAGAUUUGUUUCACAUGAUAUUAUCACUUACUUAAAGCAGAGGAUGGAUGUGUGUUCUUAAAUCAGUAAUGCCUUAUGUUGGAAUCUCUUAGCUUCAAAGGUGAAUAAGUUAUGCUUUUAAGAAGUUCCAGGAGCUAUUUUUUUAAUCUACAAUUAAGAACAGAUUUGAAAGUUGAUGAUUGUAGUGUUUGCUGAAAUUGCGGGGUCAUUCAAGAAGAUUGGGAACAGCCAAACGACUUCAGAACUAGCUUGUAAGUCUCAUGGCAAAAAAAGUCAUUCAGUCUCUGAGCUGUCGAUCUUAAACCCUACAUGGGUAACAAUUUUGUUGGGGUCAGCUAUGUGGAAGGAGGAGUCUAAGAGCAAAGUCAGUCUUGGAAUCUAAUAAAGUCAGCUUCUGAGAGACAGAAAGAGAGACAGAGAGAGACAGAGAGAGACCGAGACAGAGAGAGGAGGGAGAGAGAGAGAUCUUCAUUAUAGUAUUUUCCACAGUAGUAUGACUAGCUUUCUUUUACCAGGGCAGCUUGUCUCCAGUUCCUCUAAUGCAAAAUAAAAUUUGUAUGACUCCUUUAACACUUUGGGAUAUAAAUCAAGUAGAAUGGACUGGAACAUUCCUCUUGCUCACAGCUGCUUUUCUCUGAUUUUUACUAAACAAAGCCGCAUAUUGCAGCCACCCUGUUCUUCUACCUGUUUUUUUCUCCACUUGCAGAUAGCAGAAAGAAGUUUAAGUCUAUGCAUAUCAUUAUGAUGAGUUAUUUCAGCUAGGAAAUCACUAUUGGAAAAAAAGAGACUGUGACUUUUGGUGCCAAAAAUAAGCACUUAUCGCUUAAAAUUUUCAAAGAGAAGCCAAAGUCGUGCCACAAGACUUGGGGUAAGCACAUCAGAUUUCUAGGUUGAAUGUGCAACCUCAUUAUGCAGUGUUCCUUCUGAUGAAACAUCUG